AUAGAGAGUAUCCAGGCCAUCUGCCUGACACCUUAGGGAAAGGAAGCUGGAUAGGGGCUCCAACAUGAAUUCAUCACUCACCAGGUUCAGCAGAGUCUAUUAAAGCUCCUAGAUGAAUGCUUCUCUUAGGCAGUUGGCAGUGCCAUUGAACCUAAGCCCUAUUAAACUUGGCCCAGCAUCCAGUGGCUCAUUCCCAGAAGGCUUCAUUUUCUGUCAAUUGUCGAAGGUUACUCAGUCAGCUGAAGAAAACCCUGCAGAUGUGUGAGCUAAUUAAUGUCUUACACCUGUUCUCUCUACAUAACUGCGAGAUACCCCCAGCAGGUAGCCUGUGGCCAUGAGAUCAUUUUACUCCUUUUGUGUAUAUUGCUGUAUGUUGCUAUGAUGUCUAGGGUGAGGUUUCCCCAAAUUAGUUGUGAAGCAAUAAAGUAUUAUCAUAUCA